ensembl:lncRNA
UUUUGGGCUUGCUUACAGACCUCUGCCAUGCCGGCUGGCUAGGUCGCUCUAUUGAUUCCCAUUUUCCUGAGAAGUCGCCAGAGUGAACACUCCUCUAAUGCUGGUGGGAGAGCCAACUAGUACACUCACUUUGGAAAUCACUCAGGGAACUCCAAGAGAGAGGAGGAAGAAAGAGUGUAAGAGACAGAGAGGAUGGAGCACACCUGGAGAAUAAGGUCCUCUGAGUCAACUGAGCAAGGUUCAUAUGAACUCACAGAGGUUGAAGUUCCAGGGUUGCGGCCAACACAGACCUGCACCACUUCCUCUGCAUAUAUAUGAUAGCUUUCAGCUGAGUGUUUCAUCACUAGAAGACUUCCAGUGACUCUUGGGAAGACUUUUUUGUUCUAACAGCAAAUCUUUAUUGCUCUGCUGCAAAGUUUCUAGUUCUUGUUGGUUUUAAGAAUAUGUUUUCUGUGGUAUAUGCUCACUGCUAGAUUUUUUGCUUAAGUGGAUUAAGAAGCAGAUUUCUAGUUAGCACAUUUGUAUUAUCCAUUUUUAAUUCCUAUUGCAUUAGUGCAGGAAAGUCUCACUUAACAGUUAUAUCCACUCAAAAAAUGAUGUUUUUGCUUCAGUUGCCAUCUUCAAAAAUAAACUCAUGAUUGGCAGGAGCCAUGUGGCUUUUGGAGGAACAAUCCCCAAGAACAGAAAGACUCUGAAGACCCUUACCUACUUGGCAAAUAUCUGUGGACAGUUCACUGCUUGAUUCUGGGCAUGACCCAAGGAAUAUGUGUGCUAUGUACUAUUUUCUUGCUUUCACUAUGCUAGCCAUACUGCUGGCCUGAAUGAGACAUAGUAGGUCAUGAAGUUUAAUAUUGCAUACAUGCAUAACUGUUUUAGAAAGAAUAUUUUAACCACAAGAGUUUUUGAGAAAUGUUAUUAAAUAGAUCAUAUUAGGAGUUAAUGGGAAUAUUCAAGGGACAGGGAAGGAAGCAAAAUCAGAGAUAUCCACAGUUCACUCAUUUCUAGUAACUGUGGCAAUGCCCCAAGAAGUUAAGGCAGAUAAAUAAGAACAGGGGACAAACAGUGCCAACUAUAAGUUUCAAACAUAUAUUGCCUAUAGGCUAAAUGGAAAAACCUGGUCUGCCCCCAAAGCAGAUAGAGUAGGACAAAAUGUAGAAUGGAUGGAUCCCUCUUUGGCUGGUGAGUUGAUCUUGAGAACCCACACUCUAUUAGAUACAAAUAUUAACCACAAGAGACAAAACUGUAUCUCACCCUCCAUGACACAGUAUCUUCAUAUGCUACCAAUUGGGCACACUGUUAUGCUAGUAGGUGUGCCUAGUUAGAAAAUUUCUUUUGUAGCCUGCAAAACUGCUCAUACUUCUAACAGUGGAGAUACAGAUCAAAAAGGUAAUGGUGGGAAGGUUGGGAGACAGAAGAGGAAAGAGACAAAGAAUAAACUGGUAAUUAUUGUAACCAUUUUUUUGAAACUUAGGAAGCAAAAUAGAUUGUAAAAGUGUUCAUGCAACCCAUUGAAACUGUAUACAUAAAGACAGCCAAGGCUACCCUGGCCACUUUUUUGAAUGACAACAGAUGAUCAUAGUGUCUUCUUGGUGCCAACUUCACACUUCCAUCCCAACUCAUCAAACUCAUCUGGAGCAAGACUUCCAGGUCAUGAUUAUUUUAAUUUUGUUUCGAGUCUGCAGUUACUGGCCCAUUCCUGUCUUUAAUCAUUGCUGUUACAAAGAAAAAUAAUGAUGCCCAGAAAUUUAAAAAAUGAGGAAGGUCACAUCAUUUCUGGUCUUAUAUAUGACAAUUUACAGUUUUCCAUACUAAAACACUUUUUGUUUUUGUUUUUUACCGAUUCUUCAGUUUUUUCAGUUUUUUUGUUUUUUAUUAGUAUUUUUUUUAUUUUAGAGGCACUAAUAUUUACAUACUAAAACACUUUUAAUAGAUGACACAUUUGGUGUGUUUUACAGUCAGUUUUGAAACAAUUAUGGGUAAUAUUUAAACUCAAACUAUUUAAUAUAUAAUUGAGUUUUCCAGACUGUGUAAAAUUUAUCCU